rnacentral:rRNA from 1 species
UACGUAGGGUGCGAGCGUUGUCCGGAAUUACUGGGCGUAAAGAGCUUGUAGGCGGUUUGUCGCGUCUGCUGUGAAAAUCCGGGGCUCAACCCCGGACUUGCAGUGGGUACGGGCAGACUGGAGUGUGGUAGGGGGAGACUGGAAUUCCUGGUGUAGCGGUGGAAUGCGCAGAUAUCAGGAGGAACACCGAUGGCGAAGGCAGGUCUCUGGGCCACUACUGACGCUGAGAAGCGAAAGCAUGGGGGAGCGAACAGG